UACGGGAGGCAGCAGUGGGGAAUAUUGCACAAUGGGCGCAAGCCUGAUGCAGCCAUGCCGCGUGUAUGAAGAAGGCCUUCGGGUUGUAAAGUACUUUCAGCGGGGAGGAAGGCGAUGUGGUUAAUAACCGCAUCGAUUGACGUUACCCGCAGAAGAAGCACCGGCUAACUCCGUGCCAGCAGCCGCGGUAAUACGGAGGGUGCAAGCGUUAAUCGGAAUUACUGGGCGUAAAGCGCACGCAGGCGGUCUGUCAAGUCGGAUGUGAAAUCCCCGGGCUUAACCUGGGAACUGCAUUCGAAACUGGCAGGCUAGAGUCUUGUAGAGGGGGUAGAAUUCCAGGUGUAGCGGUGAAAUGCGUAGAGAUCUGGAGGAAUACCGGUGGCGAAGGCGGGCCCCUGGGACAAAGACUGACGCUCAGGUGCGAAAGCGUGGGGAGCAAACGAGGAUUAGAUAACC
rnacentral:rRNA from 1 species